rnacentral:rRNA from 1 species
AUUGAACGCUGGCGGCAGGCUUAACACAUGCAAGUCGAGCGGGGGAAGGUAGCUUGCUACUGGACCUAGCGGCGGACGGGUGAGUAAUGCUUAGGAAUCUGCCUAUUAGUGGGGGACAACAUCUCGAAAGGGAUGCUAAUACCGCAUACGUCCUACGGGAGAAAGCAGGGGAUCUUCGGACCUUGCGCUAAUAGAUGAGCCUAAGUCGGAUUAGCUAGUUGGUGGGGUAAAGGCCUACCAAGGCGACGAUCUGUAGCGGGUCUGAGAGGAUGAUCCGCCACACUGGGACUGAGACACGGCCCAGACUCCUACGGGAGGCAGCAGUGGGGAAUAUUGGACAAUGGGGGGAACCCUGAUCCAGCCAUGCCGCGUGUGUGAAGAAGGCCUUAUGGUUGUAAAGCACUUUAAGCGAGGAGGAGGCUACUUUAGUUAAUACCUAGAGAUAGUGGACGUUACUCGCAGAAUAAGCACCGGCUAACUCUGUGCCAGCAGCCGCGGUAAUACAGAGGGUGCGAGCGUUAAUCGGAUUUACUGGGCGUAAAGCGUGCGUAGGCGGCUUAUUAAGUCGGAUGUGAAUCCCCGAGCUUAACUUGGGAAUUGCAUUCGAU